AUAAAGGUAUGGAAUUUUGGAUUUGUAAUUGUCGAUGGGAAGACAUUUAAAAACAAAUUCCGAUACCUAUCUGAAUAACCUGCUUUCAAGUAGGUUAAGGAAGCUUUAUGGAUAGACCGC
rnacentral:antisense_RNA from 1 species